rnacentral:rRNA from 1 species
AUACGGAAGGUCCGGGCGUUAUCCGGAUUUAUUGGGUUUAAAGGGAGCGCAGGCGGAGAUGCAAGCGUGACGUCAAAUUUCGGGGCUCAACCCCGUCUCGCGUCGCGAACUGCGUCCCUUGGUUGCGGGAAGGGGAGGCGGAACUCGUGGUGUAGCGGUGAAAUGCAUAGAUAUCACGAAGAACUCCGAUCGCGAAGGCGGCCUUCCGGCCCGGCAACGACGCUCAUGCUCGAAGGUGCGGGUAUCAAACAGGAAUAGAUACCCUGGUAGUCCGUACAGUAAACGAUGGACACCCGCGGUUUGGCCUAUAUGGCUGAGCCGCCAAGCGAAAGCGUUAAGUGUCCCACCUGGGGAGUACGCCGGCAACGGUGAAACUCAAAGGAAUUGACGGGG